GACGAACGCUGGCGGCGUGCCUAAUACAUGCAAGUAGAACGCACUUGCGAACGGUUGAGUAACACGUAGCUAACUGCCUGGUAGCGGGGUGUAACUAGUGGAUACGAUCGCUAAAACCGCCAACUACCAGAUGGACCUGAGUUGUAUUAGCUAGUUGGUGAGGUAACGGCCCAACAAGGCAACGAUAAAUAGACGACCUGGGAGGGGGAUCUGCCACACUGGGAAUGGGAAAAGGGCCCGACUCCUACGGGAGGCAGGCGUAGGGAAUCUUUGGCAAGGGGGGGAACCCUGACCGAGCAACGCCGCGUGGGUGAAGAAGGUUUUCGGAGCGUAAAGCUCUGUUGUUAGGGAAGCGGUACUUAACCAGAAAGGGACGGCUAACUACGUGCCAGCAGCCGCGGUAAUAC
rnacentral:rRNA from 1 species